rnacentral:rRNA from 1 species
GAUGAACGCUGGCGGCGUGCCUAAUACAUGCAAGUCGAACGAAGAUCUAGUUUGCUAGAUCUUAGUGGCGAACGGGUGAGUAAUACAUAAAUAAUCUGCCCAUAUGACUGGGAUAACUAUUGGAAACGAUAGCUAAUACCGGAUAGGUUGAUUGGAGGCAUCUCUGAUUAAUUAAAGUAGGAUUUCUACACAAAUGGAUGAGUUUAUGGCGCAUUAGUUAGUUGGUGGGGUAACGGCCUACCAAGACGAUGAUGCGUAGCCGACCUGAGAGGGUGACCGGCCACACUGGGACUGAGACACGGCCCAGACUCCUACGGGAGGCAGCAGUAGGGAAUUUUCGGCAAUGGGCGCAAGCCUGACCGAGCAACGCCGCGUGAGUGAUUAAGGCCUUCGGGUUGUAAAGCUCUGUUGUAAGGGAAGAACAUUCAGGAUAGGAAAUGAUCUUGAACUGACGGUACCUUACCAGAAAGCCACGGCUAACUACGUGCCAGCAGCCGCCGUAAAAC